rnacentral:rRNA from 1 species
UACGGGGGGGCAAGCGUUGUUCGGAAUUACUGGGCGUAAAGGGCUCGUAGGUGGCCAACUAAGUCAGACGUGAAAUCCCUCGGCUUAACCGGGGAACUGCGUCUGAUACUGGAUGGCUUGAGAUUGGGAGAGGGAUGCGGAAUUCCAGGUGUAGCGGUGAAAUGCGUAGAGAUCAUGAGGAAGACCAGUGGCGAAGGCGGGUCUCUGGACAGUUCCUGACACUGAGAACACGAAGGCCAGGGGAGCAAACGGG